CCUACGGGAGGCAGCAGUCGGGAAUUUUGGGCAAUGGGCGAAAGCCUGACCCAGCAACGCCGCGUGAAUGAUGAAGUAUUUCGGUAUGUAAACUUCGAAAGAAUGGGAAGAAUAAAUGACGGUACCAUUUAUAAGGUCCGGCUAACUACGUGCCAGCAGCCGCGGUAAUACGUAGGGACCAAGCGUUGUUCGGAUUUACUGGGCGUAAAGGGCGCGUAGGCGGCUUGACAAGUCACUUGUGAAAUCUCCGGGCUUAACUCGGAACGGCCAAGUGAAACUGUCAUGCUAGAGUGCAGAAGGGGCAAUCGGAAUUCUUGGUGUAGCGGUGAAAUGCGUAGAUAUCAAGAGGAACACCUGAGGUGAAGACGGGUUGCUGGGCUGACACUGACGCUGAGGCGCGAAAGCCAGGGGAGCAAACGGGAUUAGAUACCCCGGUAGUCCUGGCCCUAAACGAUGAAUACUUGGUGUCUGGAGUUUUUAUCCUCCGGGUGCCGUCGCUAACGUUUUAAGUAUUCCGCCUGGGGAGUACGCGCGCAAGUGUGAAACUCAAAGGAAUUGACGG
rnacentral:rRNA from 1 species